CAUUUGUUUUAAAAAAAAAAUCCUCUCCUCUUUUUUUUUUCCUUUGCAGGGCUGAGGGUCCGGCGAGGUUUUCGACCGGUCGCCACCAUGGCCAGCCGCCGCUGGCCGUCGCCGGCCACCACACGCGGUGGCCAGAAUUCCCAAAAAUGAGCAGUUGGGGCGGUGGAGUAGGUGAUGGCAGAGGGUUGGCAUGGCAGUGAUGGCUGUAGGCAGUGCAAGUGGGGUUAGGGUUAGGUAUUUUUUGUUUGACUAUGGUUUGGGUAUUGGGCUACUAGGUUUUUUUUUUUUUUUUAAAUUUUGGGUUUGUUUUGGUUUUUGGUUAUUGGGCUGUAAUGGGUUAGUUUGUUUUAGGCCCAGGCAAAAUUUGGGCUGUACACUUUUAUUUUCUUUAUGUUUGUAUUCACUUCGAGGAACAAUAAAUCUAGUAGGACAGG